rnacentral:tRNA from 1 species
GCAGACGUCGGCAAUCACCUUGCCAAGGUGAGGGUCGCGGGUUCGAGUCCCGUCGUCCGCU